rnacentral:tRNA from 1 species
UUCUCUUCUUUCUUUCUUUUCUCUCUCUCUCUCUCUCUCUCUUUCUUUCUUUCUUUCUUUCUUUUCUCUCUUUCUUUCUUUCUUUCUCUCUCUCUCUCUCUCUCUCUCUCUCUCUUUCUUUCUUUCUCCACUGCACGGGAGCAUAUGGAAAUUCCCAGACCAGGGAUCAAAUCCGAGCCACAGCUGUGACCUGAGCCACAGUUGUGCUAAUACCAGAUCCUUAACGUUCCGCACUACAGUGGGAACUCCGGACUUUAUUUGAUGAAUUUAUUUUACUGUUCAGUGGAGUAAUAACUUAUAAAAUGAGAGGGUGGAGUAACCACACUCACAAACACUCCAGCUUUUUACCAGCUUCAUCCCUCUUGCACUUACUCCUCACCUCCUGUUUCACAGGAACUUGUAAAAUUGGCCUUCCCAAAGAACUUCAUCAUAGGAGGAAUCCCCCUUAGGUGGUAUAGACAAUCAUUACCAUCAACUGUAGGGAUAAUAGUUCAGAGUACAGGAGGGAGGACCACUUUCUCCUAAAUGGGGAUCAUGAAAUACAGUGUAUCUGUGUGAACAUCCUGUUUUAAAAGGCCAGCACCGACGAGGGUGGGAUUCGAACCCACGCGUGCAGAGCACAAUGGAUUAGCAGUCCAUCGCCUUAACCACUCGGCCACCUCGUCUGCAGAUGCACUCACCUUUUGCAACAUUGUACUUCAAAGUUUAUACUCGGAAACUCGCUACCUUAGAAAAAUGCUUAGGAAGGAGGUGGCUUGGCGACAUCUAGGAGACCUGGAGGUGGCUAUCUUCCACAUGACUGGACAAAGAACCGGAGUGGAAAACCUGUGACUGGGAGAAAAACGGACGUAGCUUUCACAAGAGUCAUAAAAAUAGUUGAGAGGUGGUAGGAACAUGAUUGCCUGGAUUUUCACUUCCUUUCCCUGGCGGCCUGGUACCAGCAGGAGGCGCUUCAGCGCCAAGUCUGGGCAGGCGGUGGGCGUGACUCGGCCAACCCGGGCUGAGCCAGAAUUUGUAGUCACCCUCCUGCCUCGGGGGAACCAGGUCCCGCCCCAGAAAGCGCUGGAAAUCAGCAGGAGCAGAGGUUCCUUUAGCCGGUCCCACUGGAGUCGACCUCUGGGGAGCUGGAGAACCUGGACUCCUAAUUCGUGGUUAAUAAAAUACUCUGGAGAAUUAGACGAUGGAUCUGAGUAGGGCUCAAUUUCCAUUCAGUGUUACAGCCGCUUCUUCAGUAAUUUAGGGUGAAAUUGCAUAGAGAAGAAUCCUUAAUUCUUGGGGCUCUCUCUUCCCGGGUCAUCAGCAUCCGAGGAAUCAUGAAUUCCGUUUUCCUUCCAAAUACCUGUGUGUUUCUUGAGUGGUUUUCUGGGGGCAAUGUUUCCCAACUUCCACUCGAUUUUCCAAACAAUGAUAAAAGCCAGACUUGGCUCUAGUGAGAAAAUGACUUGGGGAAAGGGUGAAAAAAACUAUUUUAGCAGCCUUUUUUUUGGGAGGGGGAUUGAUUGGUUUGUUUGUUUCAUGGAAGGAAUAAAACGCACAUGAAUGAACAGGAGUAGGGACUAAUUCUGACUAAUCAUAAUGAGUCAUAAAGGCCUGAGGAAAGAAGGUGAGUCUUGACGAGCAAACUUUCUAGAGGUGCGAAAUUUUCUAGAGGUGUACCAGACUGAGGAAAAGGACGUGAUCAAAGGCGAAGAGUAUCUAGAGAACCGUUGGAAAUCUCUGUGGCUGGAAUGCUGAAGCAUGUGAGUGGCUGAUAGGAAAUAUCCAUAAAUCUGAGAAUGAAAGACGGUCGUGAAGAUUUUUCUUUUGAAGCCCAAGCAAAUCAAUCAUAGGAUGAACAGCAGGAAACACGGGGAAAAUCCUGUGGGAACAGAUCCCUGCUGCAUUUUCACACGCUUAGUGUGAGGACACUACCUUAGGUUGUAGUAACAUCUUCUUGGGUGAAGACCACACUUUGCUUGUCCCAAAUAAUCUCUCUUCUUACUUAGUGUCGCUUCAUUGUCCUGCCUGGAUCUUUUCAAUCUCAUUUCCCUUCUUGUUUUCCAUGCUCAGUCCAAUUCAUGAUUUUGUAUCAAGAUGGAUCAGUUUCCCCUCUCUUCCAACAAGCCAUUUUCCCUCAUGGAGUACUCUUGCCCUUUUUCAUAUUAAUCUGGAUAAACUUUUUAUUCAUACUUGGUUCUCAGUUAAAGCUUAUGUUUUUAAGUAAAAAAUGUAAAUCAAAAUUAACCUCUUUUCAAAAUAUCAAGUAAUUCAGAAACAUGUAUUGUAAAGAAGUGGUCCUCUUUCUCCUAUUGUAUUCCCCAUUGGUAGAGGCAAAGAUUUUCAGACAUUUGGCCUUUUGUUUGUGUUGCCAUUUCUGUUUUACCAGCAUGUCUCCCAAUAUCAUGCUAUGGCAGAGAUGGCUAGUUCUGCAUCAAUAUUUAUUCUUUCCUUCCAAGAAAUGGAAAUUUAGUAAAGUUCACAUUACCUAUGGGAUUACAAUGUACAACUUUCUUUGAUGCUAAGCAUGGUCACUGGACCAAUUUCUAAAUGAGGGCAUUAGAGAGAAAGUGUAUGUAAAGCUUUCUUUCAGGAUAUAUUCAGGAGAGGAAAGAAAUACCAUCCACUUCUCUCUUCCUUCUGUAUCUGCUUGCUGGAAGAGGCAACUUCAUAGGAAUGAAGGUGUCAUGAAACAUAAAGAGUUUGGACCCAGCAUCCCAUAGGAAGGAGAAGCCAUGAGAGAGAAAACCAGAACCAACACCAUGGAGCCAAAGUGUCACCCUGGGAUUGAUUAGAGCUUCAGAUUGUUGCAUGAGAGAUCAAUACAUUUGUUUCCUUUAAGGUACAAUUCAUUGGGGUCUUUGUUACAAAGACAAAAUUGUAUUCUAAUACAUAGGCUUUCAUUUCUGCUUUUUAAACUUUUUUAAGUUUAGUAUUUUUAUUGAUUACCCUCUACACAAAAAGGAGAUUCACUUUUUUUUUUUUUUUGUCUUUUGUGUUUUUAGGGUUGCACCUGCUUCGUAUGGAGGUUUCCAGCUUAGGGCUCAAAUUGGAGAUGUGUAGCCACAGCUUACGCCAGAUCCCUAACCCACUGAGCAAGGCCAGGGAUUGAACCCACAUCCUUAUGAAUACUACUACUAGUCAGAUUUGUUAAGCACUGAGCCACGACGGGAACUCUGAGAUUCACUUUUCUUCACAUUAAAUGCUGCCAUAUAUGGAUACCCUUCCUAUCAAUCUUCCAAAUACAGUUAUAUCAUCAUGUUUACUGAAUUUGUAUUAAUUUUUCAUAUAUUAGGAUUGGCAAAUAUCAUUCACUGAUCUCUCACGGUAUUUUGUUUCUUGAACAUUAGAAUUUUUUUUUCAAGAUACCACAAACAAGCAUGAAAGAUUCACCAGAAAAGGAAAUUGGGUGUUUUCUAUACAGUUGCACCCUGGUGUCUUACUUCACCAUCAUCCUGUACAUUUUCUUCCCUGUCACUGAUAUUGGAAACUCCACUUCCCAAGGUCUUUUACUGCCUUAAUUUGCCUUCUCCUUUUGGUGGAGCACAUUAUAGAGUAGUUUCCUGAGAAAGAAUUCAUUGGAGGUAAGAUUCUUGAAUAUUUGGGUGUUAGUGAGUUUCUCUAACACUUGAUUGAUUACUUGGUUGGGUGUAACAUGUUAGGCCAGGGAAAUUUUCUUUCAGUAUUUUGAAGGAGCUCUCCAUUUUCUUCUAGCUUCCAAUAUUGCUUUGAGAAUUACAAAGUCUUUCGAAUUACUACCUUUCAUUUGUAAUUAGUUUUUCUCUCUUUCAGGAUGACUUCUUUGUCCUCAAUGUUCCAAAAUGUCUGAAAGAUAUGUCUCUGUGUGUUUCUAUUUUCAUUCACUGUUCUGGGAGCUCUAUUAUGUCAUUAGGUUUGAAAAAUCAUAUAUUUGGGUUUGAGAGAUUAGCUUGACUUUUGCGUUAAUUUUCUCAGUUAUGUGUCCUCUAUUCUCUUUUUAUUUUUUUUCCUAGAAUUUCUUCUACUUGGAUUUUUUUAAACCUCCAGGAUAUUUCCUCUACUUAAAAAAAUUAAUCUCUCCAGGUUACAUCCUGUUUAUAUAUAUAUAUUUUUUUUUCUUUUUUUUAAGACUGCACCUGCAGCAUAUAGAAGUUCCCAGGCUAGGAGUCGAACCCGAGCUGCAGCUGCCAGCCUAUGCUGAAGCCACAACAAUGCAAGAUCCGCCGUGUCUGUGACCUACACCACAGCUCAUGGCAAUGCCAGAUCCUUAACCCACUGAGUGAGGCCAGGGAUUGAAACGAAAAGUCAUGGAUACUAGUUGGGUACAUUACCGCUGAGCCACAGUGGGAACUCAUAUGUAUAUAUUUUUAGGGCCACACUGGAGGCACAUGGAAGUUCCCAGGCUAGAGGUCAAGAUGGAGCUGCAGCUGCUGGCCUACACCACAGCCACAGCAACGUGGGAUCUGCCAAGGCAUGUCUGCAACCCACACCACAGCUCAUGGCAACGCUGGAUCCUUAACCCAACUGAGCAAGGCCAGGGACUCAAUCCGCUUUCUCAUGGAUACCAGUGAGGUUCAUUAACCACUGGGCCAUGACGGAAACUCCCCAACAUAUUUUUAAUAGACUUUAUUUUUAAGGCAGUUUUAGGUUAACAGAAAAAUUAAUAGGAAAGUACAGAGUUCACAUAUACUUCCUCCUGAUCCCCACAGCUUCUCCUAUUAUUUAUAUCUUAUAUUAUUUUGGUACAUUUGUUACAACUGACAAAUCAUAGUAACACAUUAUUAUUAACAGGAUUCAUGGGGUUUGACAAAUGUAUAAUGACAUGUGUUCAUCAUUGCUGUAUCAUACAGAAUAGUUACACUGCCCUACACCACCCACACCCUCCAGAACUACUGAUCUUUUAUUGUCUCUAUAGCUUUACCUUUCCCAGAAUGUCAUAUAGUUGGAAUCAUACAGUAUACAGCCUUUUCAAAUUGGCUUCUUUCACUUAGUAAUAUACUUUUAAAUUUCCUUCAUGUCCUUUUGUGGCUUGAUAGCUUAUAUCUUAUUACUGAAUAAUAUUCUAUUGAAUAGCUAUAUCACAGUUUGCUUAUCCAUUCAUUUAUUGAAGGAAAUUUUGGCUGCUUCCAAGUAUUUAUAAUUAUGAAUAAAGCUGCUAUAAAUAUUCAUGCGCAGGUUUUUUUGUACACAUAGGUUUUCAACUUAUUUGAGUAUAUACCAAGGACCAUGAUUGCCGGAAUGUGACUUUAAAAUUUUUCCACAUUCUGGAGGAUGUCCUUUAUAUUUUAUUCCAAUUACUCCAUUAAGCUUUUCAUGUCUAUGCUCACAAUUUCAAUUUUAAGAGACUUCUGCACUUAAGGGUUACCCUUUUGUGCAAUAUUUGCACUUUUUUU